rnacentral:tRNA from 1 species
GUUUUAAUAGUUUAAAGAAAACUUUGGUCUUGUAAACCAAAAUUGAGGUGUAUUCUCUUAAAACU